GCCUUCGUGGUGUAGUGAUUAGGAUGCUCGACUCAUAACCGAGAGGUCCGUGGUUCGAUUUCCGGCGAAGGCG
rnacentral:tRNA from 1 species